AAAAUGUGUCGACAGAGUGUUUGUUGUCAAAUGCUUCAGCAGCACAACGCAAUUGUUCGUGCUGCAGUUUUAUCAGACAAAUUAUUCACACUUAUAUCGUGAUACUGCGCCCUUUAUGAAGUUGUUGUUUUAGUUGAAGGUGUAGUUUCAUCUACUGGAUUAACUAACGCCGGAAGGCCAGAAAGAAUAUCGACGCGGAACGUUAUCGUUUCUUGACGAUACUAACGUUACCGUACAGUAAGUUAGUGACGUAGAGAAAAUAUCCACAUUAACGGUUCUAUGGGUUUACAGUCAAAGAGAGUACAGAUUUACUUUGUCAGAAUAUAAGUCUUAAAAUGGAUGAAUGUCCAGAUCUACUGAAUGUGGAAAAAGGAGAAUUGGAGGUGAAAAGUGUCGUAGAUGAUAUUAAAACAGAGGAGGAGGAGGAGGAGGAGGAAGAGGACGAGGAGGCAAUGCCACAUUCAGAAUUUCUCGACAUCUUUGAGGAAGGGCUUGCUCUGAUGGUGCAGGACCCUUUACUUUGUGACCUGCCGAUUCAGGUGACAUUGGAAGAGGUGAACUCUCAGGUGGCUCUGGAAUAUGGUCAAGCCAUGACUGUUCGAGUUUGUAAGGGCGAUGGAGAAGUCAUGCCUAUUGUGGUUGUGCAAUCUGCCACGGUGCUGGAUCUGAAGAAGGCCAUUCGUAGAUAUAUAGAGCUCAAACAACAGCGAGAGGGUGGUGUCAAACACAUCGGCUGGAAAUACGUGUGGAGAACAUUUCAUCUGGUUUUCAAUGGAGAAAAAUUAGAAGAUGACAAUGGAAAGCUCAAGGAUUAUGGAAUCAGAAACAGAGAUGAAGUGACGUUCUUCAAGACACUGAGGAAGAAAUGAGAAGGGACUUGACAUUCAAUGUCUCGUUUUGUUGAAGGAAUUUCUCGUCAAAACUGGAACAAUCUAUUAAAAUAAUCUAGAAAGUUGUUGUUAGUUCCCAGGUUAUAUUUUUAUAAUAUUCAAAUCAACUUCAGCCUUUGUUUUCUCUGAAAAGAUGCAAAUAUAUGACAUGAAAGCAUAAUUCAUGUAAUCAACACAAGCACUAAUGAAGUAUAUUAAACAUUGUGAACUAUUGUUUAAAUAUUUGUGGAAUUUAAUGUUGAUUUUAUCAGAUAUCAGAUAAUAAAAUCUGGACAUAAUGAAAAUAUUGAGUUCCUGCCCAUAACGAAUGAAAUAAUAAUAGAAAACGAAACAAUAUAAAACUAAAUUUAUUUUAUUAUGGGUCCAGCAGAUCUGACAAAGCCUCAACAAGAUAUUUGUUUAGAAACAUUCUCGUGACAUGAACUUUUCAUGGCUUGCGCUCUGGAAGUAAGAAAAUAGUCAUACCACAUACUUUAAAUAUUGUAAAUAUCUUCCUCAUUCUGUAACAUUUCAGUAUGACUAGCCUAUUAUUUCCUUACCGCUGCAUUGUAAAUAUUGGAACAGUAAGGCUAAAUGCACCGACAACGGCAAACACAGUGAUAUCACGAUACCCAAGCAUCACUUCAGACAUAAGCAUGGGCUCUUGGAAGACUUAGAACAAGUGAGCUGUGAAUUGUCAACAUGCCUGGACAAUCUCAUGAACAGGAAUUGAACAUCGCAGAGGAGCUCAACCGGCUGUCCUUAAGCAGAGAGCAGCUCAUCGACAGACGCAAUGUCGUGGCUUUGCUUAUCGAUUUCAAGCGAAGUAAUGGCCAAAAUGAACAACAGUAUUGCAGAGAGACUGCAGAACUUCAAGAAAUUGAUAAGGAGCUCAAAGCUCUGUCUCAGAGGAAGAUUCAACUGCAGAUGGGACAAGACCGGAUAGAAGGAACGCAUAACAUAUUAAUUGACACAUCUGUAUCUUCUGCUGUUCUUGUGGGGGAUCCACCAUCCUUUUCAGCUCCGCAGAUUAUUCUGGAUGUUCAGGAACUUCCUAGACACGCAUCCCAGACGCAGUGUCCAUUCUGUCACGAAUAUAUAACCACAGACGUCACAAAGACCACCAGCAGUACCUCGUAUCUUAUGUGUUUUGUUUUCAUUAUGUUUUGUUGUGUAGCUGGCUGCUGUCUGUUCCCAUUCUGCCUGGAUACCUGCAAAGAUGUUGUUCAUAAGUGUCCAAGAUGUCGGAGUCACAUACACACGUGCAAAAAGCUCUGAGGGGUGGAACAUGUCGAGUGAAUUUAACUGAAAGAUCAAAAGAGAUAUCACAGUAUCUGUGCUACAGGAAAUUUGAGAAUAUUCAUUUCUUUCUUUGAUUAUAUUUCACCUGACUGGGUCAUUGGAAUGCCUGAAGCACCCUGGGAGUCUGAGACUUGUUUAAUGGUGAUAGCUCACGGAUAGCUGUUUGUGGGGUAUGAACCAGCAACCUUCUGGUUAUCAGCUCUGAGCUUUCGUCACAACACAGUGAAUGGAAUAUAAGGUUUCAAUGUGACCGUCUUGGUCAUUUGCUUUGAACGUUCAAAGCUAAAGUUCAUAUGCAUACUUUGAAACUGUUGAAUACCUGUACGUCCUAAAGCAGGAAACACUUUUAGGGUGUCCUGGAAGAAAAAAUAUGGAUAGAUGGAACACUGUGGUUGAAGUAUUGAGGACAGGAAUGAUAGGUUUCCAAAGUAAUUUAAUUUAAUAACAGUUUGUUUUAGUGUAUUUAAGGAUUUUAAAGGUGAAAAAUAUGAGAGUUAGAAAUGUCAAAUGUAAUUUAUACAUUGGGUUCUGGUUUUUAAUGCCGAUUUGUGAGUAGCCAUGGUUAAAUCAUGUUUGAACACAUCCAUGACUUAUUUAAUGAGCAGCACUUAUGGCGUUUUGAUGUAUAAAAAUAUUAAGUUACUAGUCAGAGAUUAUAUAGGCCUAUUCUUAUAGAGAUAAAUUGCAUUUAAUACUUAUUUGAUGUUUAAUACAUUAAUUGGAUAUGUUUGUUCACUUUGUCUUUAUUGUGUGGUAACUUUUUUAAAGUCACUUUGUCGCCUUGUAAUUAUAAUACUAUAUCUGACAUUUUUGUCACAAUUUAAUUAUUCACAUAUUCUGUGAAGUUUUUUCUUUAUGUUGUGUAUAUUUUGAAAGUCAAAAGGAAUUUAAAACUUUGAAGGUCCAAAAAUUCUCACCAUUUCUUGAAUCCCAAUAGAACCUUAUAUAUUAAAGGCGAUGACU